UACGUAGGUGGCUAGCGUUGCCCGGAAUCACUGGGCGUAAAGCGGGUGUAGGCGGUUCUUUUAAGUCGGAUGUGAAAUCCAGCGGCCCAACCGCUGAAUUGCAUCCGAUACUGGGGAACUUGAGGACGGUAGAGGUCGGUGGAAUAUCCGGUGUACCGGUGAAAUGGACAGAUAUCGGAUAGAACACCAGUGGCGAAGGCGGCCGACUGGGCCGUUCCUGACGCUGAGACCCGAAAGCCAGGGUAGCGAACCGG
rnacentral:rRNA from 1 species